AUUGCUAUGAAUAAAAGACAGAAUCCCUUUGUUGCAAUUGUGUUAUUUUCUUUUGUUUACACUUCAUUCUUCUUCUUCAUCCAGGUUAUAGAUUCCUUCAAUUCUCUAUUCUUCAUUUCUUUAAAACCCACAUUCUGGUAUCAGAGCUGAUUUUCUUAAGGGAUCUAUGUGUAACAAUGGAAGCUGAAACCAAUUUCUCUCAAAUUGCUCCCCCGGUCUUCGAUAGAGAAAACUACCAGCUUUGGGCACUUAGAAUGGAAGCUUAUCUGGAGGCUUUAGAUCUAUGGGAAGCCGUGGAAGAGGAUUAUGAAGUCAUUCCGCUACCGAACAAUCCCUCCGUAACUCAGAUCAAAAGUCACAAAGAAAAGAAAACUAGAAAGUCAAAGGCGAAAGCAACUUUAUUUGUUGCUGUUUCAACAACAAUUUUCAAGAGAAUCAUGACUCUCAAAACAACAAAAGAGAUUUGGGAUUAUCCGAAGGAAGAAUAUGCAGGAGAUGAAAGGAUACGAGGCAUGCAAGUGCUAAAUCUAAUAAGGGGAUUUGAGCUGCAAAAGAUGAAAAAGGCUGAGACAAUCAAAGAAUACUCAGACAGAUUGCUCAGCAUUGUCAACAAGGUAAGGCUUCUUGGCACUAAAAUUGAUGAUUCAAGAAUUGUAGAAAAAAUUCUUGUUACCGUGCCUGAAAGAUAUGAAGCUUCAAUAACCACUUUGGAGAACACAAAAGAUCUAUCCAUGAUUACCUUGGUAGAGCUUUUAAAUGCUUUGCAGGCUUAAGAGCAACGGAGGCUUAUGAGACAAGAUCCUACUGUUGAAGGAGCAUUGACAGUCAAACACCAGGAUGCCCAGAGGAACAACAAAAAGAAGAAUCAUAAGAAUCAAGUCUCAAUUUCUGAGAGCUGUUCAAGCAAGCACACUCAAAGCAAAGGUGGAAGCUCAAAGGGAAACUAUCCCCCUUGUAAACACUGUGGCAAAAUGGGACAUCUUCCAUUCAAAUGUUGAAAGAGACCUGAUGCAAAGUGUAGCAAAUGCAAUCAGCUUGGACAUGAAGCUGUGAUUUGCAAAAGCAAAUUUCAGAAGUAAGAAGAAGAUGCCGAGGUAGCUGAUCAAGAUGAAGAAGAUCAGAUGUUUGUGGCAACGUGUUUUUCAACAAUGAGCUCUUCACAAUGUUGGCUGAUCGACAGUGGUUGUACAAACCACAUGACUUAUGAUAGAACUCUUUUUAAGGAGUUAAAGCCUACUGGAAUCACUAAAGUCAGGAUAGAAAAUGGUGGCUAUAUUCCAGCAAAAGGAAGAGGAACCAUUGCAAUUACAACCAGCUCAGGUACAAAAACAAUUUCUGAUGUUCUUUAUGUACCUGAUAUCGAUCAAAAUCUACUGAUUGUAGGCCAAUUAAUAGAAAGAGGAUUUAAAGUGUCCUUUGAAAAUUGGUAUUGUCGUAUCCAAGAUGCCGCUGGACAGGAGAUUUUACGUGUUAAAAUGAGAGGUAAAAGCUUCUCAUUUGACCCAACGGAGGAGGAGUACAGAGCUUGUUCCACCAAAGCCAGCAUCAUCGAAAUCUGGCACAAAAGGCUCAGGCAUUGUUAUCUUCAACGAAUGCUAAAGAUGAAGAAAAAUGACAUGAUAAGAGGUUUACCAACUCUGGUUGAUCACUUGCCAAAUUGCCAUGCUUGUCAAUUCGGUAAACAAGAUAGGAAGCUAUUUCCUAAAUCAUCCUGGAGAGCAUCACAAAAGCUACAACUUGUCCACGCAGACGUGGGAGGACCUCGAAGAACACCAUCACUUAAGGUAGCCAUUAUUACAUUCUUUUCAUUUAUGAUUUUACAAGAAUGUGCUGGAUUUUUUUCUUAAAAUUCAAGUCAGAAGUGGUUGGAGUGUUUUGGAAGUUCGAGAAAAUGGUGGAAAACCAAAGUGGCUGCAAAAUUCAAGUUCUAAGGUCUAAUAACGGAAAGGAGUACACCUCAGCAGAAUUUAAUUUGUUCUGCGACGAAGCUGGCAUUGAACAUCAGCUUAUUGCUCCUUACACUCCAGAACAAAAUGGAGUUAAUGAAAGGAGAAAUAGAUACGUCAUGGAGAUGGCCAGAUGCAUGUUACAUGAGAAGGAGUUGCCAAAAAGGUUCUGGGCAGAGGUAGCCAACACAGCAGUAUUUUUGCAAAACAGGCUUCCAAGCAAAGCUAUCAAAGAUAAAACUCCGUUUGAGGCUUGGUUUGGGUAUAUACCUUCAUUGAGCUUUCUUAAAGUGUUUGGUUGUGUGUGUUUUGCCCAAAUUCCAGGGGUCAAGCGGGACAAACUCGACAAAAAAGCAAUUCCAGGCAUCUUUGUGGGUUAUAGCUCAGUUUCCAAAGCCUAUAAAGUGUAUCACCCUCAAACAUAAAAAUGACGAUCACUAGAGACGUUCACUUCAACCAGGAUGAGCAAUGGGAUUGGGAGAAUUCAUAGGGAAUAGGCAGAUUUUUACAAGAAUUUAAAGGUGAUUCUCUUGAAGAGUAAACAACAAAGCAGUGGCAUAAUGAAUUGGAAGAUGAUCCUCCAAUCAGAGGAACAAGACCACUUUCAGACAUCUAUCACAGAUGUAACGUGGCACUAUGCGAACCUGCUGGACAUGAAGAAGCUCUUAAAGAUCUAAAGUGGAAGAAAGCAAUGGAAGAAGAGAUGUCAAUGAUUCACAAAAAUAGAACUUGGGAAUUAGUCAACAAACCUGAAGGUAGAAAAGUCAUUGGAGUAAAGUGGGUGUACAAAACAAAGCUCAAUGCAGACAACUCCAUCAACAAACACAAAGCAAGGCUUGUCAUUAAGGGGUAUGCUCAAAUUUUUAGUGUUGAUUAUUCUGACACUUUUGCUCCUAUUGCUAGAUUAGACACAAUCAGAAUGUUGCUAACCUUAGCAGCACAAAAAGGCUGGAAAGUGUUCCAGCUAGAUGUCAAAUUGGCUUUUUUAAAUGGUGUUUUGCAAAAAGAAAUAUAUUUGGAGCAGCCAGAUGGAUUUGUGGUGCAAGGUGAAGAGGAUAAGGUCUAUCUGCUCAAAAGGGCUCUUUAUGGCCUAAAACAAGCGCCAAAAGCCUGGUACAACAGGAUAGAUGAACAUUUACUAAGCUUAGGCUUCACAAAAAGCUAAUCUGAGGCCACUCUUUACGUUAAACAGAAUGGUAGUUAUGUUCUCAUAGUCUCUUUUUAUGUUGAUGACCUUUUGGUAACAGGAAAUAAUGCGCAAAUGGUUGCGGAGUUCAAACAAGAAAUGAUGCAGGUUUUUGAAAUGACAGAUUCUGAACUUAUGACUUACUUUCUUUGGAUGGAGGUCAAGCAAAGCCAAAAUGAAGUGUUCAUCUGUCAAAAGAAGUAUGUAAAGGAAAUAUUAAAGAAAUUUCAGAUAGAGGAGUGCAAAGCAUCAAACACGCCAAUGGGUCAAAAAGAGAAGCUGAGCAAGGAUGAUGGUGCUGAUAAAGUUGAUGAAAGUUAUUAUAGAAGUUUGAUUGGUUGCUUAAUGUAUCUUACAGCAACAAGACCUGACAUUCUGUUUGUUGUAAGUCUCUUUCUCGAUUUAUGCAUUGUGCUAGUGAAGUGCAUUUAAGAGCAGCAAAAAGAAUAUUAAGGUUUAUCAAAGGUACUGUUGAUUGUGGCGUCAAGUUUGAGAAGUGUCAAAACUUCAAGUUGUGUGGAUUUUCAGAUAGUGAUUGGGCUUGGUCUGUUUUUUUUUUUUUUUGUUAGGUAAUCAGAGAAUUUUAUUCCUUAAAAGAAAGUACACAGGAGGUAUACAAUCACUUUAGGCAUGAAAGGAACAACAUGAAAUUAGGCAACCCUACAACAGGAUUUUUAACCACUGCAUUAAACCAAGUAUACAAAGUCAAGUAAAAUAAUUCUCUUAUCUGCUCUGUUGUCUUUGUUUGAUCUUCGAAACAUCGAUCGUUCCGUUCUCUCCAUAUGCACCAUACAAUGCAUCCCGGAAUGAGAUUCCAGAGAAGUUUGCUAUCCUUAUCGCAAAGUUUUCUCCUCCAUGCCAGCACCACGUCUUCUAUACGCCUAGGAAGCACCCAAUCCAUUGAUUGAGAAGCCAGAAUACUGUUCCAAAGCUAAUGUACACCAUCACAAUGAAUGAAUAAAUGAUCAAUCGUCUCUCCGUCCUUCUUGCACAUAUAGCACCACUCGGUUACAUAAAAUCCUUUUCGUCGAAGAUUAUCCACCGUUGACACCUGCCUCCUCAUAACUGUCCACAAUAAAAAUGUUACCCGUGGAGGCAAUUUGCUUUGCCACACCAUCUUCCAAGGUAAUGAACUUUCCACAAAUCCCAAAAAGGGAUUAAAAGUAUGAACGGACUGAAAAAAUACCAUCUCGAGUCAACCUCCACCUGCUACAAUCACCCUCUCCUACCCGAAUUUGUAUCUCAUGCAGAGCGGUCAAAAACAACGAAUAACCUUCCAAUUCCCAAUCCUGUAAACUCCUCCCAAAAGUAAUAUUCCAACUAUAACCCCCAUUAUGAGUGUUUAAUACAUCAUCCACCAUAGCAGCAGGCUCUAACGCAAUGUGAUACAAUGAAGGAAAUUCCUCCUUUAACGGUUGAUCGCCACACCAACUAUCAUCCCAAAAUCUAAUAUCAUUGCCAUUUCCCACCACAAAAUUUAGUUUGUCCCUAAAAUCACUCCAUCCUCGUCGGAUAUACCUCCACAAACACACCCCAUAGGAGCCAUGACCCUCAACCGUACACCAACCCCCCUCCAUCACACCAUACUUUGUCCCAAUGAUUUCUCUCCAAAAGCUCUCCCUCUCCACUCCAAAUUGCCACAACCACUUGCCUAAUAAAGCCUUAUUAAACAAAACAAGGCUCCUCACUCCAAGCCCUCCCAUCCUCAUAGGCAAACAAAUAGUACCCCAAUUAACCAAAUGCAUUUUCCUCCCCUAACCCUGCCCACAAGAAUUCUCUUUGAAAUCUCUCUAAUCUAUUUGCCACUGCAACCGGAAUAGGAAACAAUGACAAAAAGUAAGUGGGGAGAUUUGAGAGAGUGGAUUUAAUAAGAGUAAAUUGGCCUCCCUUAGAAAGAUACAUACGCUUUCACCCUGCUAAUCUCCUCUCCAUUCUUUCCAUAAUACCAUUCCAGAUAUGUGUACUUCUAAGCCGUGCCCCUAGCGGGAGGCCUAAAUAUGACAUGGGCAAUUGUGCAGUCCUACCUCCCAAUAUGCUAGCCAACUCCUCCACGUUAGUGACCUCCCCAACUGGAAUAACCUCAGAUUUCCCCAAAUUGAUUUUUAAUUCAGACACCGUUUCAAAACAUAGGAGCAAACGACGCAGGUUCCUGAAUUGUUCAUCAUCCGCAUCACAUAGGAUCAACGUGUCAUCUGCAAAUAGCAAAUGAGACACCUGCUGUUGGCCAACCCUAAAGCCCCUUACCAAACCCUCUCCCACAGCUCUUUCAAACAUCCUACUGAAAGCCUCCAUCACAAUAACAAAAAGCAAUGGGGAUAGUGGAUCUCCUUGCCGCAAUCCUCUACUACUCCGAAAAUAACCCUCCGGCGUUCCGUUGACCAUAACUGAGAACGAAACAGUAGAAAUAUAGAACUGAAUCCAUUUACACCACUUAUCCCCGAAAUCGCACCUCCUAAGUAUAUACAGAAGGAACCCUCAGUUCACAUGAUCAUAUGCCUUCUGAAUAUCGAGCUUACAUAGCAUCCCGGGAAUUCCCAAACGCAAUCUUGAAUCAAUGCAUUCAUUCGCUAUAAGCACAGAGUCCAAAAUCUGACGACCUUUUACGAAAGCAUUCUGAAACUUGGACACUACUAUCCCGAGCACCUCCUUUAAUCUGUUUGCCAAGACUUUCGCAAUAAUCUUAUACACCCCACAAAUUAGGCUAAUAGGACGAAAGUCCUUAAUGUCGGUCGCUCCCGGUUUCUUAGGGAUCAGCACCACAAAUGUAGCAUUAGAACUUUUUUGGAACCUGCCACGUUCAAAAAAAUAUGUAAACACAUCCAAAAUUUCCAAUCGCACCACCUCCCAACAAGCCUUGUAAAAUGAGAACGAGAAACCGUCCGGUCCAGGGGUCUUAUCUUCGUUCAUGCUAAACACUACCUCCUUGAUUUCAUCCUCCUCAAAAGGUCGCUCUAACCACCCGGCAUCAUCCUCCGUGAUAGUAGAAAAAUUCAAUCCUUCCAACUCUGGCCUCCACUCAAACUGUUCCUGAUAUAGAUUCUGAUAGAAAUUCACCAAUUGGCAUCCAAUUUCGAGUGGUUCUUCAUAAGUUAUCCCAUCCACUUCCAACACCGUGAUAGAGUUUUUCCGCCUAUUAGAAUUAGCGAUCCUGUGAAAAAGCUUAGUGCAUUUAUCUCCUUCUUUCAACCAAUUGACCCUAGAUUUCUGACGCCAUGCAAUUUCCUCCAUCUCCACCAACCUCUCCAAUUCUUCCCUUAAUGCUCUACGUUUCUCCUUCUCCUCCCCAGCCAACUUUCGACUCUCCUCCCUCCUAUCCAACUCAUCAAUCUCUGAAAGACACUGAAUUUUACGACAGUUCACAUUGCCCACAACCUCCUCAUUCCAUUUCUUUAAGUCUCUUUUUAAAGACUUCAACUUCUGAUCCAACACAAAACUAGGAGACCCCCUGACAUAGUAAGAUGUCCACCAAGUCUGUACUUGCUCCCUAAAACCUUCAACUUUCAACCACAUUUUCUCGAACCUGAAAGGCCUUUGUCCUCCACCCGUCCUGUUCCCAGUUAACAUAGUGGGGAAAUGAUCAGAGUACACCCUCCCCAAUCUUCUCUGAAUGACAUCUGAAUACUUAGCCUCCCACUCUUCGCAUAUCAAGAAUCUGUCUAUACGAGAAAGAACAGGUUGAUCCCGAUUAGAUGACCAAGUAAAAUCUCCUCCAAUCAUAGGCAAAUCCACCAACAUAUUCUCCCUUAUAAAGUCUGAAAACUCCUCCAUAACCCCCGUGAGUCUCCCACUGUUCGACCUCUCAUUAGGAAAUCGAACCACAUUAAAGUCACCUCCUAUUCACGUUAGCAGAUUCCACCAAGCCAUCAUUCCAGCCAUUUCAUCCCACAAGCCCCUUCUACUGUCAUCAGUAUUAGGCCCAUAAACACCUAUGAACAUCCACUGAAAUCCAUCCCUAAUGUUUCUGAACGACAUCGAAAUUGAGAACAAUCCAACACUCACCUCCUCCAUCUCAAGCACUCUGGUGUCCCACAUGACUAAUAUGCCUCCAGAAACCCCUGAUGAUCCCAUAAACUGAUACCCUACAUGCUGCCCCCCAAUAAGCUACUGACCACCGCUUUCGAGAUGACCUCCAUCUUGGUUUCUUGUAAGCAUACAAGAUCCGCUCCCCAGCCCCUUAGCAGAUGUCGAACACCCAUUGUUUUCCCCACUUCAUUAAGUCCCCUUACAUUUCAGCUAAUGAUUCGUGGUAUCAUUUUAACAGUCCAGCAUCCCUCCCCAGUACUCCAUUCUUGGACUCACCACUUUUGCCAUCAUAAUUCACUGACCAUUCAAGCCUCUUAAGUUCACGAUCGCCCUUUCUUCUUAAUUUAUCUUCCUGUUUACUCAUCUCCUGUCCCCUAUUGGCCUCCAAAUCUUCAAACAAUUGUAGUAAUCUGUUGUCGUAUCCAUCACAAGACACGCCCAUUAACUUACUGAAAUCCUGAAUUUUCUGUAGAACCCAGUUCGAAGGCGGGUGUCCAGCUUCAAAUCCAAUCAAUUCCCCUGUUUCCUCUAUCUGUAUAUCAUCACUUUCUAUUUCUCCCUUCUUGGCUCCAUCUACCCACAGCACCAGUGCUUUUUCCGUCCCCAAGUCACUAACCUUUAUUGACUUAGAAUUCCUUCUAUUAUAUGUGUUUGCAACCCUUGGUGUUAAAGGUGUCGCGUCGUGCUCUAUCACCCCUGACGGUACAUGCCUCGUCCUUUGGUCACCUAGUAAAAGCCCAUCAUCGUGUGGGAUUGUGUCCAUUGCACCCAUCGUUACUGUCUCCAAGUUCACCAUACUCGGCUCCCCUUCUUUAGACAAAGGUACCACCUCUCGGUCUACAUCGGUCCCCGCGUCGACCUCAUCUAUAACCAUCCCCUUUAAGACAUCACCUUUGUCAUAUGUAGAUUGUCCCUCAUCAGUUUCAAUCCGAUCAAUAAACUCACAAGUGAUUUCGAAUCUUCCCUGCUUUACUUGAUUAUGUGCCGAUUCCUUCUUAUUCAUUUCCGAUAUUUGUUUUCCAACAGCUGGAUACUCAUCCAUACCCACCCCACACUUGUGGCAACAUAACAACUUCUUGGGAUCCAUUUCAUACCCACUUUCCACUAGCCUAAUCAAUUCCUCCAACGCUCCUUUCAAUUUUUGGACACGGGCCAUGAUUACAGCCCUAUUCAAACAACAAUUCUGACCUUCGUUUACACUGACAUUGACAGUCAUCUCCUUUUGCUGUUACAUCCGCUGGUCAGCACACUUCGAGGCAUGUAAGUUUGCUGUUAUGUCUGCAUAAGUCAAUCUUUGUCGAUUACGUUCAUUCACCAGUCGACGUUUGGCCUUAUCCCCAGCAACAAAAGAAUCAACAACAGUUUGAAACACCCGAGAGAUUGAUGCCCAUCCUUCUCCAUUCGCGCCUUUCGGCACCAUCACAACUCCUUUCCGACGCCUAUCCCCAUACUGCGCUAUCAUCAAGUACCUAUCAUGGCGGUUCGCACAACGUUGUGCCAAGAAGGUUCUUGAUGACUCAUUGAACCUAGAAACGAAAUCUUCAUGCUUACUAGUCACCCUCAACUUGUCUACCAUAUUCACCAUCCAAAGUGCACCGAAUCUUCCCAUGCUAAUUGCAUUUGAUAUCUUUGAGCCCCAUUCGGUCAAUCUAACAGCACCAAGAUUGGUAACAGAAAUUGCAAACUCCUUCGCCUCAACUUGAAAACGAUGAUUGAAGUCCACAUCGAAUUCAUCUACAAAUUUCGAUCCCUGAUUGUGCCUGAACGGCAUAUUAGACGGCAAAACAAGCAUCGUUACUGGAAUGGGAACAUUCUGCCCGUCAUUCUGCUUCGCCGGCGCGUGACUGCCACUCGCUGUUCCGGCGGCGUGUGGGUCCCUGAACUCCUCCACCCUCAUCGGAAUCUCCUGCGCAGGCCGCCGGUCAGGCGAGUUUGCCAUGCAGUUGGCCAGAUUUUGAUGAAUCUGGAACGGCUUCCCCUGUUUUUCGGCCAGUACUCCGAUAUUGGCGGCGUUAUCUCCAGUUAGGGCGGCAGUGCUAGGGUUUCCACCUAGGGCCGCCGCCUGAUUGUGUGGUUUAUUAUAUUUCGUGAGGCCGACGAGUGGGGAUUGGCUGGUCGACGUGAUGUUGCCGUCGCCGGUGACUGUCGCGACCGGUGGUGAUGGGGUGUUCGGUGGCUGGCGAAGGGUGUGAUGUUUGGAUGUUAGGGAGGAGAGAUUCAUAUUCCUCAAGCUAUUAUCGACGACUGAUUGGGCUUGGUCUGUUGAUGACGUGAAAAGUACCUCAGGAUACUGAUUCAGCCUAGGUUUAGGAGUUUUCUCAUGGUGUUCAAAGAAGCAGGAGAUUGUAGCACAAUCCACUACAGAGGCGGAAUUUAUUGCAGCAAACCAAGCUUUAUGGCUGAAGAAAAUACUAUCUCAUCUGCAUAUGGAGCAAAAUGAUAGCACUGAGAUUUUUGUUGACAAUCAAACGACAAUUGCAAUUUCUCAAAAUCUAGUAUUCCAUGGGAAAAUGAAAGACUUCAACAUCAAGCUUUACUUCUUGAGGGAGGUGCAGCAAACUGGAGAAGUAAAAUUAGUUUACUGCAAAUCUGAAGAUCAGCUGGCAGAUUUGCUUACGAAACCACUACCAGUUGGCAAGUUUGAGUCACUAAGGCAGAGGAUUGGAAUUUGCAGUGCCUAAAGUAAGGAGGAGUGUUAAUUAUAUGCUUCAGGACUGCAAAUAUGUCCACGUGUUUAAUCUUUGAUUUAUUGUUCCAGAUGUUUGUUUCUAGUCAAUAAGUUAGUCCUAGUCUUUAGGAUGUUGUUCGUGCACUUUCUAGAUCAUGGAUUAGUGGCUUUGAUCUCCAUGAUCCACUCUUUUUCGGUUUUAUUUUUGCAUUAUAAAUGUAAUGGAUUGCUAAUGAAUAAAAGACAGAAUCCCUUUGUUGCAAUUGUGUUAUUUUCUUCUCUUUACACUUCAUUCUUCUUCUUCAUUCAGAUUAUAGAUUCCUUUAAUUCUCCGUUUUUCAUUUUUUUUAAAACCUACAAUAUAUAAUUCUGAAAUUAUUAUAUGACGCCAUUGAAUUGCCUUUGGUUGUCCUACCCAUUUGUUAUGUUAUUUUACCUUGUUUUAUUGCUUUAUCUUCCAGUGCAUUUAUGUGCAACUAUUGAUGUUAUUAAAUGGCUAAAAUUCAUUCAAUACUUUAGUUUAAAUAAAAAGAUCAUGCACGUAUGAAGAAUUUUUAUAUCAGAAAUAAUAUGUGCUUUGCAUUGAUGAAAUGUGUGCCUUGCUGUGUCUUGUUCCUGAGGAGGCCUUGCCGUUUUACUGACCUGGAACCUUUGACAAAUAUGGUUUAUUAGACCUCAAAAAUAUUUUCUUAACUUCUUAACCAACAUUAAGCUCUUGAAGGAAGUUUGAUAUUUUGAUGAUAUAAUUUAUUAUUUAUCUAUAUAAACAAAUUCUUCACUUGGUGUUUAUAUCAUUCUUUAAUUUAUAAAAUCUGUACUACCUGUUCCAUCUUAUGCACGUUGUGAAAUUGGUGUUUCUUUAUAUUGUUCAUAUAUGUUUCUUGAUCAUAACAUUCUUUUGAAAAUAUGAAAAUCGCUGAAUUUUAUGUGCUCGUGUCUUAAUCAAGUAAAUUGGCAUUGUUAUGGUGACCUGCUGGGAAACAAGUUCUCCUCUCGGGUGUUCAUGUCAGAGGAAAAGUCUGAAGGGUAGGAGGAUGCUGAAACUUUAGCAGGUGAAUAUAAAGUACAUUCAACAACUGAUUUUGCAUUUCUUCAUGGUAAAAGCAAGAGAAUAUUAUUGAUUUGAAGUCCAAUGAAAUCGUCUAUUGACAUUUUGUUGCAUAUUUCCUUCUUAUUGACACGUAUCUUUCAAUGUCUUAAAAAAGUGAAAUUAAGAGGUAUCAAGAAGAACUUUUCCAGUCUGAGUAAAUUUACGCGACUUUGGGAGAUGCCUAGACUCAUUGUAUAAACAUUCAACUUUAGAUGCUAUAGGCAUUGGAGGUAUUGUAUUCUGAUCCUCUCUCUAUCCCUUGUUCAUCUGGUCUGUGAGGAGUUUGUGCUGUUUGAACUGCCUUCUAAUAUCUGAUAACGCCCUUUUUCCUCAAUGUAGAAUGAAUGAUUUUUCCUUUUGUAUUUUGUUGUCUAGGAAAUUCAUCAUAUUUCUGACUGCUUUGCUUGUUAAUCUUGAUUGUUUUGGCUUGUAAGGGAUGGUCUGUAAUUGGUCAUCUUAACUGAACUUAAUCUGCACUGUGACUGAAUCUGUGGUACUUAGUUGACGAAGUUCUCUUGACUUUUCAGGAUUUGAACCUAAACGUUCUACAUUCUUUUUCAAUAAAUGCCACAUAUUAACCUAAACGUUCUACAUUCUUUUUCAUUUUCAAUUGCAUAUUUUAUGAAACUCGCAACUUUUAUUGAUUUUGUUCAAAAUCUACUAAAAUCUCAUUUUUA
rnacentral:lncRNA from 1 species